UCUGGUUGGUUCUUGGUCCUGCUGAGAUGG
rnacentral:piRNA from 1 species